CUGCUUUUGUCCGCCUUGUGGGAACCCAAAUUAAAACGAAAGUUCCCGGACAUUACGGUUCAUGGGAAUUAGUGCCUAAACAAUACAAGGAUCAGGUCCUUGGCAUAAUUCAGUACUAUUAUCAAAUAGCGGGCCGCGAGGAUUUCUUAAAGUGUUUAGAUGGUAUCGAUCGAGAGAUGAAAGACCAAUACCGUAAUAGGAAAACACUAAGACACGAACACUUUGAGAAACACUACAAUGGACCGGAGGAUUGGGAUAAGGUUCUAAACAACCCAA